UGCAGAAGAAGAUGGGAAAUGUAACGUUCCAUUAUCUUGCUUUGGAUUUAUGGAAAUUCUGAACAGUGAUGUGAGAGUGACUACAGUUUGAAGUAUCUGUUAAAUACAGCAACAUGACAUCACAAGGAUUAUCCUUUAUUUCAGAGUUUUCCUACUUUUUUUCAAACCGAACUCUGUUUAGCUUCAAAGAAAAUGAAAACUAAUGGCAUUUUUAUGGAGACUGCGGAUUGUUUUGGAGUCUUCUGGAUAUGAGAACAUUAUAAAAGGUGUGGGGGUUUCCAGGAGACUUGAGAAUGACUCCAGGACUCAUAGUUCUCCUGGAACAUGGUUUUCCACUGUAGCCUUAGAAGAGGAAAGCCCAUCUAUGGAUACUUAUGUUUAUGAGAAUAGAGACUUGACUGUUUAAUGUCAGAGGAAUAGAGAGUUUGGCAAGCAGAACAAUCUAUCAGUGACGGCCUUUGGAAAAAAUGGGCUAUUUUUAGUAAAAGGAAAUGGCUCACAUAUUAUGGUGGCUAAGAAGUCCUACGAUCUGCUGUCUUCAAACUGGAGAACCAUAAAUGUCAAUGGUGUAAUUCAGUCUGAAUCUGAAGGCCUAAGAACCAAGAGAAAUGAUGGUAUAAUUCCUGGUCUGAAUCCAAAAGCAGGAGAAGAUGUCCCAGU
rnacentral:lncRNA from 10 species